rnacentral:lncRNA from 1 species
ACUAAGGCGAAUGCUCUACACAAACUCUAGGAAGGGGAAUGAACUAAACAAUCUCCAUGAAGAGGAAUGACCUAAGAAUGUGAAGGAAGGGUGAUGCACUAAGGAAACUAAAGGAACCCCAUGGCCCAGGCAAACUAAAGGAAGGGGGGUGUCAUGAUAACACUCGGGGAAAAUGGAUGCCCUAAAAAAACUCAAGGAAGGGGGAUGGUAAAAAAAAAACUAAAAGAAAAGGGGAUGUCCUAAACAAAGUCAAGGAAGGGAGAUUCCCUAAUAAUAAUCAAGGAAAUGGGAUGACCUAAACAAACUAAGGGUAGGGGAUGCCUUAAAGAAACUCUAGGAAAGGUGAUGUCAUAAACAAAAUUAGGAAAUAAGGAUGAAUUGAAAAAAAAAACUCCAUAUGAUGUAACAUCUAGUACUAAUGAAUUAAAUAGACGAUAAUGAUUAUCUUAGUACUUAACUUUAA